GGGGGGAGCUGCCUGCCUGCCCACGCACCUUGGUGGGUCAGGAUGGCGUGCCAUGGGGCUCCCUCCCAGCGCCCCAGCAAGCUUUCCCAAGCAUGCUGGUGCGUUUUUCCAUGGCCAUGUGGGAAAUUCGACCGAGUCAAAAAUAGUCCACGCCGAAUCCAGGUCGUACGUGUCCCGGUUCUGGCUGGUCCAACGGAAAAAUGUGGGCAUCUCGUAGUGAGCUUAUCCGGCACCAUGACACAUUUGGCGUGCAGCAAGUUCUUUGCUUGUUCCUCAAGGUCCAAGUCAAAAAUCUUGAUGCCUUCGUCCCUUUGGUCGAGGUGCCGGUCUGGCAUCACAGUGGGUAGUUGCGGUCAUCCCUCGGACGUGCCGAGGCAUCCAGUGUGACCCGUUCCGCACGGAAGGUUGUGGCGCUAGGUGAAGCCUUCACGGGCAUAUCCUUAGCACGAAGGGGGCAAGUUCCCAAUCAUCCGGAAGUGCACUAUGGGCGGUUCAUCAUGGUCGAAGCCAAGGCGCGGCCGUGUUUGACGCGAUCAGCAACGUCUCUCCAGUCGCCUCGUCCCUCGGAAAAGUGUGCUCUGUUGAGGUGCCGGCCUGGCCUCACAGUGCCGAGAUGGGUAGUUGUGCGCAUCCCUCGGACGCGCCGAGGCUUCUAGUGUGACCCGUUCGGCACGGAAGGAUGUGGGUCUACGCGUUCCCUUCAGUGGCAUAUCCGUAGCACUGAGGGGCAAGUUCCCAAACAUCCGGAAGUGCACUCUGGGGGGGUUCAACCCACGGUCCGAAGCCAAGCCCGGCCCUGGUUGAAGCAUCAAACAAACCUCGUCUCCUGUCCUCGUCCCUCGGAAAGUGUUGGCUGUUGAGGUGCCGGCCUGGCCUCACAGUGCCGAGUUGGGUAGUUGUGGCAUCCCUCGGACGUGCCGAGGGCUUCUCGUGUGACCGUUCUGCACGGAAGGAUGUGGCGGCUAGGUGUUGCCUAAUGGGCAAUGGCGUAGCACGAAGGGGCAAGUUUCCAAGCAUCCGGAAGUGCACUUUUGGCGGCGGUUGAACAUGGUUGAGGCCAUGGCGCGUUUGGUUGAGGCCAUCAGCAACGUGUCCCCUGUUGCCUGUCCCUCGGAAAAGUGUGCGCUGUGAGGUGCCUGCCUGGCCUCACAGUGCCGAGAUGGGUUGUUGCGGAUACCUCGGAAUUGUCGUGUGUUCAUGUGUGGCCUGAUCCUGCACGGAUGGUUUUGGUAAUAUCUUCAGGCACGAAGGGUCAAGUUCCCAAGCAUCCGGAAGUGCACCCUGGGCGGUUCAACACGGUUGGAGCCAUGGGGCGGUCGUGGUCGAAUCAAUCAACAAUGUUUCUCCUGUCGCCUUGUCCCUCGGGAAAGUGUUCUGUUGAGGUGCCGGCCUGGCCUCACAGUGCAGAGUUGGUUUGUUGCGGGGAUCCCUCGGAAUUGUCGUGGCUUCUACUGUGGCCCGUUCUGCACGGAAGGUUGUGGUGCUCGGUGAACCCUUCAUGGGCGUAGCCGCAGCACCAUGGGUCAAGUUCCCAAUCAUCCGGAAGUGCACCCUGGGCUGUUCAACACGGUUGGAGCCAUGGGGCGGACGUGGUCGAAUCAAUCAGCAAUGUUUCUCCUGUCGCCUUGUCCCUCGGAAAAGUGUUCUGUCGAGGUGCCGGCCUGGCCUCACAGUGCAGGGUUGGUUUGUUGCGGGGAUCCCUCGGAAUUGUCGUUGCUUCUACCGAGGCCCGUUGUUCACGGAAGGUUGUGGUGCUCGGUGAACCCUUCUUGGGCGUAUCCGCAGCACCAUGCAUGGGUCAAGUUCCCAAGCAUCCGGAAGUGCACCCUGGGCUGUUCAACACGGUUGGAGCCAUGGGGCGGUCGUGGUCGAAUCAAUCAGCAAUGUUUCUCCUGUCGCCUUGUCCCUCGGGAAAGUGUUCUGUUGAGGUGCCGGCCUGGCCUCACAGUGCAGAGUUGGUUUGUUGCGGGGAUCCCUCGGAAUUGUCGUGCCUUCUACUGUGGCACGUUCUGCACGGAAGGUUGUGGUGCUCGGUGAACCCUUCAUGGGCAUAUAUGCAGAGCACGAAGGGGCGUAAGUCCCAUAAUCUGGUAGUGUGUUGUGGGUGGUUCCCAUGGCGGAAGCGAGGGUC
rnacentral:sRNA from 1 species